AUUGAACGCUGGCGGCAGGCCUAACACAUGCAAGUCGAACGAGUGGCGGACGUGAGAGUAAUGUCUGGAAAACUGCCAGAUGGAGGGGGAUAUCUUCUAGAAACUGUAGCUUAUACCGCAUACCCACGGGUGUGCACAUAUGGGAUUAGCUAGUAGGGGGGGUAAAGGCUCACCUAGGCGACGAUCCCUAGCUGGUCUGAGAGGAUGACCAGCCACACUGGAACUGAGACACGGUCCAGACUCCUACGGGAGGCAGCAGUGGGGAAGAUUGCACAAUGGGCGCAAGCCUGAUGCAGCCAUGCCGCGUGUAUGAAGAAGGCCUUCGGGUUGUAAAGUACUUUCAGCGGGGAGGCGUUACCCGCAGAAGAAGCACCGGCUAACUCCGUGCCAGCAGCCGCGGUAAUUC
rnacentral:rRNA from 1 species